rnacentral:rRNA from 1 species
AGGGAAUCUUCCACAAUGGACGCAAGUCUGAUGGAGCAACGCCGCGUGAGUGAAGAAGGUUUUCGGACCGUAAAGCUCUGUUGUUGGUGAAGAAGGAUAGAGGUAGUAACUGGCCUUUAUUUGACGGUAAUCAACCAGAAAGUCACGGCUAACUACGUGCCAGCAGCCGCGGUAAUCGUAGGUGGCAAGCGUUGUCCGGAUUUAUUGGGCGUAAAGCGAGCGCAGGCGGAAGAAUAAGUCUGAUGUGAAAGCCCUCGGCUUAACCGAGGAAUUGCAUCGGAAACUGUUUUCUUGAGUGCAGAAGAGGAGAGUAGAACUCCAUGUGUAGCGGUGGAAUGCGUAGAUAUAUGGAAGAAUACCAGUGGCGAAGGCGGCUCUCUGGUCUGCAACUGACGCUGAGGCUCGAAAGCAUGGGUAGCGAACAGGAUUAGAUACCCUGGUAGUCCAUGCCGUAAACGAUGAGUGCUAAGUGUUGGGAGGCUUCCGCCUCUCAGUGCUGCAGCUAACGCAUUAAGCACUCCGCCUGGGGGAGUACGACCGCAAGGUUGAA